GCUAACAUGGAGAGGCAACAGGCUAGAAGAGUCCCUGUCUUGGAGCGCCCCCUACCCAGUGGAGGACCGCGGUCGGUUUUUGAGAGGGUCCUUUUAACUCUCAAAAAUCUGUCUCCUCAGUGCAUUUUAUUUAUUUAUUUAUUUAUUUAUUUAUUUAUUUAUUUAUUUAUUUUUGACAUAGAGUCUCUCUCUGUCGCCUAGGAUGGGCACGAUCUCGGCUCACUGCAACCUCCGCCUCCCGGGUUCAAGCAAUUCUCCUGUCUCAGCCUCCCCUCAGUGCACUUUUAUAAACCGUCCUCAGAACCCUUGGGAAGCCCAAGAUCGUCAAAAAGAGAACCAAGAAGUUUAUCCGGCACCAGUCUGACCGAUAUGUCAAAAUUAAGCGUAACCGGCGGAAACCCAGAGGUAUUGACAACAGGGUUCGUGGAAGGUUCAAGGGUUAGAUCUUGAUGCCCAACAUUGAUUAUGGGAGCAACAAGAAAACAAAGCACAUGCUGCCCAGUGGCUUCCGGAAAUUCCUGGUCCACACGUCAAGGAGCUGGAAGUGCUGCUGUUGUGCAACAAAUCUUACUGUGCUGAGAUCGCUCACAAUGUUUCCUCCAAGAACCGCAAAGCCAUCGUGGAAAAGAGCUGCCCAGCUGGCCGUCAGAGUCACCAACCCCAAUCCCAGGCUGCGCAGCAAAGA
rnacentral:lncRNA from 10 species